rnacentral:rRNA from 1 species
GCUGUGGGUAGGGGUGAAAGGCUAAACAAACCUGGAAAUAGCUGGUUCUCUCCGAAAACUAUUUAGGUAGUGCCUCAAGUAUCACCAUCGGGGGUAGAGCACUGUUAUGGCUAGGGGGUCAUUGCGACUUACCAAACCAUUGCAAACUCCGAAUACCGAUGAGUGCGAGCUUGGGAGACAGACGUCGGGUGCUAACGUCCGGCGUCAAGAGGGAAACAGCCCAGACCACCAGCUAAGGUCCCAAAAUAUAUGUUAAGUGGAAAAGGAUGUGGCGUUGCCCAGACAACUAGGAUGUUGGCUUAGAAGCAGCCAUCAUUUAAAGAGUGCGUAAUAGCUCACUAGUCGAGUGACACUGCGCCGAAAAUGUACCGGGGCUAAACAUAUUACCGAAGCUGUGGAUUGUCCUUUGGACAAUGGUAGGAGAGCGUUCUGUAAGCCUGCGAAGGUGUCUUGUGAAGGAUGCUGGAGGUAUCAGAAGUGCGAAUGCUGACAUGAGUAGCGAUAAUGCGGGUGAAAAGCCCGCACGCCGUAAGCCCAAGGUUUCCUGUUCAACGUUCAUCGGAGCAGGGUGAGUCGGCCCCUAAGGCGAGGCAGAGAUGCGUAGCUGAUGGGAAGC